AAUUAUGAUAAUUAGACAUAAGCAUUUCAUUUAAACAGAGAAGAAACUGACAGACCGACAGAGCCCACAACAUAUUUUUUAAAGAAAUGGAAUGUAUACAGUGGAAUACGUUUAUAGCGAAACAAUUAAGACCGGAAAAUUUUGAACAACCUAUGUGUAAAAUAUAUGUUAUAUGUAUGAUUUUUGAUAUCUUACAGAGAAGAAAAAAUAUGUAUUUAUAUAUAGGGGCCCCAAAGCCUAGUUCGUACCGGGGCCCGGGAUUUCUCUCGGCGCCACUGAUUAUAAUAAAGUGUAGAUAUUUCUGUUCAACAAAUUAUCAGAUAUUUUUCAUUCUCUUGUUUUGGAUAUUUUAACUAGCGAUCGCUCUGGCUAAUUCAGAAGAAACUUCUGAUAUCGGAUUUUAAUACGAUUUGGUGUUACUUGGUCGCAUUUGUAACAC
rnacentral:lncRNA from 1 species